GGGCCGCUAGCUCAGCUGGUAGAGCACCGCCCUUUUAAGGCGGGUGUCCCGAGUUCGAUCCUCGGGCGGCUCA
rnacentral:tRNA from 1 species